rnacentral:rRNA from 1 species
UACGGGGGGAGCAAGCGUUGUUCGGAUUUACUGGGCGUAAAGGGCGCGUAGGCGGUCAGCACAAGUCAGUUGUGAAAUCUCCGGGCUUAACCCGGAAAGGUCAACUGAUACUGUGCGACUAGAGUGCGGAAGGGGCAACUGGAAUUCUCGGUGUAGCGGUGAAAUGCGUAGAUAUCGAGAGGAACACCUGCGGCGAAGGCGGGUUGCUGGGCUGACACUGACGCUGAGGCGCGAAAGCUAGGGGAGCGAACGGG